CUCGACCACCACCAACGUAGGUCCUCUCUCUCUUCUCCCCACCACCAAUACUGAUUUUCUAUCCGGCGUUUCAUCGUCUUUUUUCUUGUGAAGAGAGAGUGAGAUGGGAGCGGAGAAAGCAGAGGCGUCGUUGGAUUCGUUGAUCACCGGGUUCAACAGUCAGAUCUCAGAGCUCCAAGAGCUCGUUAUUGCUCGAAAUAUGCUCAAGCUCAGAUAUAUGGGUUAAUUUCAUUUCUGGUGGCUGGAGAAAAC